AGGUAAUAAUAUAAAAUAAAACCUUAUUAUAAUGGCGGCUUUAUAUCUUAUUAGAGGAACUUGUAAAAUAAACGAUAAUACCCGUUAUUUUUCACUUUAAUUUUAAUUUAUAUAUCGCCAUCAAGAAUAAAUUUAAAAAUUUUUUCAUUUUAAAAAAUAAAAAGUUAGGUCAAGGUAUAAUUUAUAUUAAAGAUCUUAUGAGUUACACUAAAGCAUAUUUAAGGAUAAAAAUUUUAAAUAAUUUUUUGAAAAAGAAUUUAUAAUUAAUAGUAUAAUAAUAUUAAAUUAUGAAUAAGAUUAUAAAAGUGC
rnacentral:rRNA from 1 species